rnacentral:precursor_RNA from 14 species
CCUGCACUACACUCUCUGCCCUCUUCAGGAUGAGGUAGUAAGUUGUAUUGUUGUGGGGGUUUUUAUUUCCCCAAAUUAGGAGAUAACUAUACAGCUUACUGCCUUCCCUGCAGCAUGGUAAUUUAAUUCUCUGAUGU